ensembl:misc_RNA
UUGACAGUCCUGGAGACUGAAGCCCUCUUUUUAUCCACAGAACAGGUACAGCACAGGCAGUGGGAGUGCAAGCUUCCCCUACACUGCCCCACCAUUGUGCAUCAACCCUGACCUGAAGGGAUCCCUUCUAGGGAUGAGAGGGAAUUUAGUCUCCAUGCUCAUUCAGUUAUUGGCCUCU